rnacentral:rRNA from 1 species
CGGUACGUACUGGCAUUGUUGGUUUCUCCCUUCUGACGAACCAUGAUGUCAUUUAUUUGGUGUUGUGGGGAAUCAGGACUGUUACUUUGAAAAAAUUAGAGUGUUUAAAGCAGGCUCACGCUUGAAUACAUUAGCAUGGAAUAAUGAAAUAGGACGUUUGAUUCUAUUUUGUUGGUUUCUAGGAUCGACGUAAUGAUUAAUAGGGAUAGUUGGGGGCAUUAGUAUUCAAUUGUCAGAGGUGAAAUUCUUGGAUUUAUUGAAGACUAACUACUGCGAAAGCAUUUGCCAAGGAUGUUUUCAUUAAUCAAGAACGACAGUUAGGGGAUCAAAGACGAUCAGAUACCGUCGUAGUCUUAACCAUAAACUAUGCCGACUAGGGAUCGGAUGAUGUUAAUUUUUUAAUGACUCAUUCGGCGCCUUACG